rnacentral:rRNA from 1 species
AACGUAGGAGACAAACGUUAUCCGGAGUUACUGGGCGUAAAGGGCGUGCAGGCGGUCGACUAAGUCUGGCGUGAAAGCUCUCGGCUAAACCGGGAGAGGUCGUUGGAUACUGGUUGACUAGAGGACGGUAGAGGCGUGUGGAAUUCCGGGUGUAGUGGUGAAAUGCGUAGAGAUCCAGGAACACCAGUGGCGAAGGCGACACGCUGGGCCGUACCUGACGCUGAUACGCGACAGCAUGGGGAGCGAACGGG